GAUGAACGCUGGCGGCGUGCCUAAUACUUGCAAGUCGAGCGAAUGGAUUAAGAGCUUGCUCUUAUGAAGUUAGCGGCGGACGGGUGAGUAACACGUGGGUAGCCUGCCCAUAAGACUGGGAUAACUCCGGGAAACCGGGGCUAAUACCGGAUAACAUUUUGAACCGCAUGGUUCGAAAUUGAAAGGCGGCUUCGGCUGUCACUUAUGGAUGGACCCGCGUCGCAUUAGCUAGUUGGUGAGGUAACGGCUCACCAAGGCAACGAUGCGUAGCCGACCUGAGAGGGUGAUCGGCCACACUGGGACUGAGACACGGCCCAGACUCCUACGGGAGGCAGCAGUAGGGAAUCUUCCGCAAUGGACGAAAGUCUGACGGAGCAACGCCGCGUGAGUGAUGAAGGCUUUCGGGUCGUAAAACUCUGUUGUUAGGGAAGAACAAGUGCUAGUUGAAUAAGCUGGCACCUUGACGGUACCUAACCAGAAAGCCACGGCUAACUACGUGCCAGCCGCCGCGGUAA
rnacentral:rRNA from 1 species